AUUGAAACAACAGACAUUCAUUCUCUCCCAGCUCUGAAAUCUAGAAGGCUGAAAUAAGCUAUCGGCAAGGCUGUAUUCCCUCAGAAGUCUCUGGGAAGGAAUUCUUUCUUGCCUCUUCCUAAAUUCCUGUGUUCGCCAGCAAUCCUUGGAAUUCCUUGACUUGCAGUUUCAUCACUUCACUUUCUGCUUCUGCCUUCUUCACCUGCCCGUCUUGCCUGAACUGUAUUCAUUUCCAGAUCUCCCUCUCCCUACAAGGACAACAAUCAUUGUAUAUAGGGUCCACCCUUAUCAAGUAUAAACUCAUCUUAACUUAUUACAUCUACAAAGGCCCUAUUCCUGAAGAAGGUUGCGUUCACAGACUCCCAAAUCUCUUUUAUUGGGGGUAAUGGGCCUCUCGGGGGUCUUCACUGCACAGCUUGUUCAUUGGCACUGCUUCCCGACUCCUGGGGCUUCAUCACGUCGAGCAGCUCGGGCGGGC
rnacentral:lncRNA from 1 species